GGGCCGGUAGUCUAGCCUGGAAGGAUGCCCGCCUCGCACGCGGGAGAACCCGGGUUCAAAUCCCGGCCGGUCCACCA
rnacentral:tRNA from 2 species